AUGAACGCUGGCGGCGUGCCUAAUACAUGCAAGUCGAGCGAACGGACGAGAAGCUUGCUUCUCUGAUGUUAGCGGCGGACGGGUGAGUAACACGUGGAUAACCUACCUAUAAGACUGGGAUAACUUCGGGAAACCGGAGCUAAUACCGGAUGAUAUUUUUAACCGCAUGGUUCAAAAGUGAAAGACGGUCUUGCUGUCACUUAUAGAUGGAUCCGCGCUGCAUUAGCUAGUUGGUAAGGUAACGGCUUACCAAGGCAACGAUGCAUAGCCGACCUGAGAGGGUGAUCGGCCACACUGGAACUGAGACACGGUCCAGACUCCUACGGGAGGCAGCAGUAGGGAAUCUUCCGCAAUGGGCGAAAGCCUGACGGAGCAACGCCGCGUGAGUGAUGAAGGUCUUCGGAUCGUAAAGCUCUGUUAUUAGGGAAGAACAUAUGUGUAAGGAACUGUGCACAUCUUGACGGUACCUAAUCAGAAAGCCACGGCUAACUACGUG
rnacentral:rRNA from 1 species